rnacentral:rRNA from 1 species
CCUACGGGAGUCAGCAGUGAGGAAUAUUGGUCAAUGGACGAGAGUCUGAACCAGCCAAGUAGCGUGAAGGAUGACUGCCCUAUGGGUUGUAAACUUCUUUUAUAUGGGAAUAAAAUGUUCCACGUGUGGGAUUUUGUAUGUACCAUAUGAAUAAGGAUCGGCUAACUCCGUGCCAGCAGCCGCGGUAAUACGGAGGAUCCGAGUGUUAUCCGGAUUUAUUGGGUUUAAAGGGAGCGUAGGUGGAUUGUUAAGUCAGUUGUGAAAGUUUGCGGCUCAAACGUAAAAUUGCAGUUGAAACUGGCAGUCUUGAGUACAGUAGAGGUGGGCGGAAUUCGUGGUGUAGCGGUGAAAUGCUUAGAUAUCACGAAGAACUCCGAUUGCGAAGGCAGUUCACUGGACUGCAACUGACACUGAGGCUCGAAAGUGUGGGUAUCAAACAGGAUUAGAUACCCUAGUAGUC